GGUGACCUGCGGAGGGACAUUACAAGAACGCCCGGGCUUCGGCCUGGUUAUUCAUAACCCUUUGUUGUCCGACUCUGUUGCCUCCGGGGCGACCCUGCCUUCGGGCGGGGGCUCCGGGUGGACACUUCAAACUCUUGCGUAACUUUGCAGUCUGAGUAAACUUAAUUAAUAAAUUAAAACUUUUAACAACGGAUCUCUUGGUUCUGGCAUCGAUGAAGAACGCAGCGAAAUGCGAUAAGUAAUGUGAAUUGCAGAAUUCAGUGAAUCAUCGAAUCUUUGAACGCACAUUGCGCCCCCUGGUAUUCCGGGGGGCAUGCCUGUUCGAGCGUCAUUUCACCACUCAAGCCUCGCUUGGUAUUGGGCAACGCGGUCCGCCGCGUGCCUCAAAUCGUCCGGCUGGGUCUUCUGUCCCCUAAGCGUUGUGGAAACUAUUCGCUAAAGGGUGUUCGGGAGGCUACGCCGUAAAACAACCCCAUUUCUAAGGUUGACCUCGGAUCAGGUAGGGAUACCCGCUGAACUUAAGCAUAUCAAUAAGCGGAGGAAAAGAAACCAACAGGGAUUGCUCUAGUAACGGCGAGUGAAGCAGCAAUAGCUCAAAUUUGAAAUCUGGCGUCUUCGACGUCCGAGUUGUAAUUUGUAGAGGAUGCUUCUGAGUGGCCACCGACCUAAGUUCCUUGGAACAGGACGUCAUAGAGGGUGAGAAUCCCGUAUGCGGUCGGAAAGGCGCUCUAUACGUAGCUCCUUCGACGAGUCGAGUUGUUUGGGAAUGCAGCUCU
rnacentral:rRNA from 1 species